AUGACUCUAAGGUUUUUUAAAGAUUACGCUGCUAAAAAGGGGCCUGGUGGGAGGCGAUUGGAUCGUGGGGGCAGACUUCCCCCUUGCCAUUCCCCUUAUUAUGAUUGCUGGUUUGAUUCAGUCCCUCAGAAGAACCUGAGCCCAAAGAACCUGGAGGAAGAUUUAUUUGGACAUUUGGAAAUACCUUCAUGUUUUCUGUUCCUUCUGUCUGACUCUAUGACUGAAAGUCAGACGUAAGAAACAGGAGUUUCCCUGCACAAUCACUCUUCUCUUGUUUGCCACCAUGUGAGACGUGCCUUUCACCUUCCACCAUGAUUGUGAGGUCUCCCCAGCCACAUGGAACUGUAAGUUCAAUAAACCUCUUUCUUUUGUAAAUUGCCCAGUCUCCACUAUGCCUUUAUCAGCAGCACGAACUGGACUAAUACAAUACUGUUGCACUGGGUAUUGUUUUAACAUGAAUUCUGGAGGUGACUCAAACAUUCAAAGCAUAGCACCUGGGAACUGCCACAAAUGGAUAUUCUUGGGCUCUACCCCGGACAUACUGAAUCUUGGAGGCAAGGGAUCUAGCAAUCUGUGUUUUAACAAAGUCCUCAAGAUGAUCUGGAUGCACCCUAAAGUUUAGGACUGUUUUAAGUCACUGAGAUUCUAGAGUGUGUUCAUGACAUCAGCAAGCAUUGGCUUAACCAAUAUAGACAGUAAUCUGGAUGGUGGGAGUGAAGAUGGCAGUUUGAAAUGGAGUGGUCAUGUCCUUCCUCAGAAGGACACUUAAUUAAGAGGCAGGGAGGGAGGCAUAGGAAGAUGUAGAGUAAGAUCAUUGUAUCCACUGGAAAGAUAUUGCAAUGGACUUGAGAGAACAAGUCUGGUAUUUUUGCAGAAAAAAACAGAAGUGGAAAGUGGCCAGAGUAGAAUGUCUAUGGGAAAGGGUAGGAGAUGAGAUCAGAGAGGACAGCAGGCAUCAUAUUGCCUGGCGUAAAGGGCCCGAGUAAGGCUUUAGAUGCUCUUUGAAGUCCAAUGUGAUUUAUUUAUUCAGCUAUUUUUUCCUUGUAAAAUUGUGGUUAAAAUGAGCAUAACAUAAAAGUUACUAUUUUAACCAUUUUUAAGUGUAUAAUUUAGUGUCAUUAAGUACAUUGACAAUAUUAUACAACUAUCACCAUUAACCCAUUUUUAGAACUUUUUCAUCAUCUCAAACAGAAACUCUGUACCUACUAGACAGCUCCCAUUACCCCUUCCCCUUCACCCCCUUGUCUCCUGGUAACCCCUAUUCUAAUUGCUGCCUCUGUGAAUUUGCCUAUUUUAGGCAUCUCACAUAAAUAUACAAUAUUUAUCCUUGUAUGUCAAGCUUAUUUAGUUUAAUUAUGUAUCCUUGCGUGUUAAGCUUAUUUAACUUAGUAUAAUAUUUUCAAAGUUCGUCCAUGUUGUACGUGUCAGAAUUUCCUUCUUUUUAAAGGCUGAAUAUAUCCCGUUGUAUGUAUUCUAUGCAACAUUUUGCUUACCCAUUCAUCUGUGAUGCACACUUGGGUUGUUUUCCACUUCUGGCAGUUGUGAACAAUGCCACUGUGAACAUUGGUGUACAAGGAUGAGAGAGUGUGUGUGUGUGUGUGUGUGUGUGAGUCCCUGCUCUCAAUUCAUGUGGAUCAACAAACUUUUUGAGUGUCUGGUACUGUAUAUUGAGAAUGAAGAGAAGCAUAGGACCUGAUCUGGUCAAAGUUCUCAUUCCAGUGAGGGAGAACAUAAGUGAAACUCAGUUUGCAAUGUAUAGGAAUGCUAGAGGUAUGCUCAUAUAGAGUACCUAGGAGGUGAUCUAGAGAUCUCUAGAGUGUGUCAGGAAAGGCUUCCUGGAGGCAUAGGGCUGAGCUCCAUCUGAAAGAACAAGUAGGAAUUGGGUGAAGAGAGGGAGUGGCAUUCUAAGGAGAUAGAUGGUAGAGCAUCAAAGCAAAGAGGCAUGAGUGCGUAACUCCUCUGGAGAAGUUCAGGCUGGCGUAGGAGGGUUGAAGAAUGGUAAGGAGGGAGUAGGAGAGAGUGGUGAGUGAUGAGACCACAGAAAGAAGCAAGGGCCUGGCUGCAGAGGAUUUGGCAAGAGAUGUUAAGGAGCCUGACACUAAUCCCUUAGGGCAGUGGUUCUUAAUCUUGACUGCACUUGAGAAUUGCUCAGCAGCUUUCAAAAAACACCAAUGCCAAGUCUGAGUUCCACCCCCAUAGAUUCUGGUUUAAUUGGUCUGGGUUGGGGCCAGGACACUGGCAUUUUUUAAAUUUCCCCAGGUAAUUCCAGUGUGCAGCCAGGGUU
ensembl:lncRNA